GCGGGUGUAGCUCAGUUGGUAGAGCGUCAGCCUUCCAAGCUGAAUGUCGGGAGUUCGAGCCUCCUCGCCCGCU
rnacentral:tRNA from 4 species